CAGCCAGAAAUGGCUGCUAAUACCGCAUAAGCCUGCGGUGCCGCAUGGCACAGCAGGGAAAACCACGGUGGUACAGGAUGGGCCCGCGUCUGAUUAGUUAGUUGGCAGGGUAACGGCCUACCAAGACGAUGAUCAGUAGCCGGCUUGAGAGAGUGGACGUCCACAUUGGGACUGAGACACGGCCCAGACUCCUGCGGGAGGCAGCAGUGGGGAAUAUUGCACAAUGGGGGAAACCCUGAUGCAGCAAUGCCGCGUGGGUGAAGAAGCACUCCGGUGCGUAAAGCCCUGUCAGCAGGGAAGAAAAUGACAGUACCUGACCAAGAAGCCCCGGCUAACUACGUGCCAGCAGCCGCGGUAAUACGUAGGGGGCAAGCGUUAUCCGGAUUUACUGGGUGUAAAGGGAGCGCAGGCGGUAUGGCAAGUCAGAUGUGAAAACCCAGGGCUCAACCCUGGGACUGCAUUUGAAACUGCCAUACUGGAGUGCCGGAGAGGUAAGUGGAAUUCCUAGUGUAGCGGUGAAAUGCGUAGAUAUUAGGAGGAACACCAGUGGCGAAGGCGGCUUCCUGGACGGUAACUGACGCUGAGGCUCGAAAGCGUGGGGAGCAAACAGGAUUAGAUACCCUGGUAGUCCCCGCCGUAAAC
rnacentral:rRNA from 1 species